CUUUUUUUUUUAGCCUGCGGCGAAAAACAAUCUAUUUUUUUCGCGACAAGUCGAAAACAAUUUUUUUCUUUCAAUUUUAGCAUUACAUAUAGUGGCAGCUGAGGGGGAAACAAACAAUUUUCUUUUCUCAGAAUCAAAAACAAAUUAUUUUUUUCUCCAAAAACUGGAAACAAACUUUUUUUCCAUAAAAAAUCCAUAGCCCCC
rnacentral:lncRNA from 1 species